GUCCACGCCCUAAACGAUGUCAACUGGUUGUUGGACGGCUUGCUGUUCAGUAACGAAGCUAACGCGUGAAGUUGACCGCCUGGGGAGUACGGCCGCAAGGUUGAAACUCAAAGGAAUUGACGGGACCCGCACAAGCGGUGGAUGAUGUGGUUUAAUUCGAUGCAACGCGAAAACCUUACCUACCCUUGACAUGCCAGGAACUUGCCAGAGAUGGCUUGGUGCUCGAAAGAGAGCCUGGACACAGGUGCUGCAUGGCCGUCGU
rnacentral:rRNA from 1 species